GCCAGCAUGGUGUACUGGUUUGAGUGCCAGACUACGACUUUGGAGACCAGGUUUCAAAUCCCUUUUCAGCCG